GAGAUGAGGCUGACUACAUAAUCUGUGGAGGCCAGUGCAAAAUGAGAACGUGGGGCCCUGUUCUAAAAGCAGAGAAAACGAGCUGUUAAAGGGUGCCCCAAACCUGCCAGAAGAGGCCAAACAGAAAGACUGGAAAGAGGAAGAGCUGAUCCACCCAGCCAAAGAAGCUGGUGAAUUAGCACUCCACUGACAAGGAGCCACAGCCACCGGGAUGUGGGAAACAAAGACAAAAGAAAAACUGGGUUUCCUUACCACCUACAGCCCACGGACAAGUCCUUCAAACAGGCAGGGUGACAUUCCUCUAGGGACUCAGCUGCCUGGAUGUUAAUACUUUG